rnacentral:rRNA from 1 species
GGGCUUGACAUCCCACGAACCUGCCCGAAAAGGUGGGGUGCCCGCAAGGGAGCGUGGAGACAGGUGGUGCAUGGCUGUCGUCAGCUCGUGUCGUGAGAUGUUGGGUUAAGUCCCGCAACGAGCGCAACCCUCACCCCUAGUUGCCACCGUGUUAAGCCGAGCACUCAAGGGGAACUGCCAGCGUCAAGCUGGAGGAAGGCGGGGAUGACGUCAAGUCAUCAUGCCCCUUACGCCCUGAGCUACACACGUGCUACAAUGGCCAGUACAAAGGGACGCGAGACUGCGAAGUGGAGCUAAUCCCAAAAAGCUGGUCUAAGUUCAGAUUGCAGUCUGCAACUCGACUGCAUGAAGGAGGAAUCGCUAGUAAUCGCGCAUCAGCACGACGCGGUGAAUACGUUCCCGGGCCCUGUACACACCGCCCGUCACACCACGAAAGCUGUCUGUACUCGAAGUCGCUGAG